GCCUCGGAUCUCUGCAGCUAGCACUGUCCUCAUAUGAACCCUGAGAAGCUGCCAGAGUUCAGUGCGCGGGCUACAGGAGGUAAGAGGCCUCCCACAGCAAAGGCAGCGGCUUCAGGAGACGAGCUUGGAUGAGAUGGGGGGAGUGAUGUGAGGCAGACCCACACACACAAUCAAAUCGUUACAUACAUACAUGCAUUAAGUACAGGUGCGGGCAGGGCGCAAUAUCCUGGCGCACCACAGACGGAAAGUGGUCUCCGGUAUACAGUAUGAACUUCCAUGACAAGGACAAGGCUACGUUUUUUGGCCAAUGAAGGGACAGAAAUAUCCUCAUAUCUCCUUGUUACAGUUAGAACAUGUGUUCUGCUUUGUUUUUGCUAUUUUUUGUGAGAGCACACAGAACCUAUAGGACGUAUGCAGUCUGGUGAAAUUGCGACAGCAAUGAUCAGACACAAUAAAGAACCAACCAGCCUUUCCCAUCUUACACUUGAAAGAGGUCAUCAGCUGACCUAGAGCAGUAUGGGGCCACUCUUGCUCAUACUGAGCCCCCAGAUUACACUAUGGGAUGAGUCUUCUACAAGUUACAAAAAUAAAGGAAAGAUUGGUUGCUAUGGGUAACUGCAUUGGUGCAGUUUAGCACCUAUAUUAAUUAAUAAGGUGCUGCUUCCUCUACAGUUACAUUAGGCUUCGUAUCCCUGCCACAGAGAUCAUAUUUCAGUAAAAGCUUCUGGAGAAUAGGACCACUAUAAUCUUCAGUUCCAGGUCCAUGAAGCCCUUAAUACAGCCUAACCUUCAUGAUGUUGUUAAACGGCAACUCCCAAAAUGACAUCAACAACCAAAUAUUAUGUGCAGUCAUUCAAUACAAGCUGGAUGGUUUACAUAGGAAAUACCUAGUUUAUGUGCUUUUAUUCUCAUAUGAGAGCCUUUUUAUAUUGUCUCUGCCCUCUUUCUCAAGUCUGUAGGCAUAAUUCAGAAAAAUUGUGUGAUUUUAUUCCAUAAUAAUAACCUAUAGCAAGCAAUUAUUAUUGUCUAUUUAUGUAGUGAUGGCAUGUUUACAUAGCACUUUACAGAAAACUAUACCUCAUUAAUUUCAGUCCUGCCACAGUGGAGCUUCCAGUCUAAUGUCUAACCCAGUGGAGCUUAGUCUAAGUCCCCUGUCACAUUCACACAAGCUUCUGAGGAAGCCAUGAAACACGUAAAGCAAAUGGUGCUCUUUAAAGUUUCUGUGUCAGAUAUAAUUUUAACUUUUGUAAUAAAAGGAAUAUUUUAGACUGAAAACAAUGUCUCCAGUGCUCUGUGAUUUAUAUUCUCUAUUGAUUGAAG